AUGCUCAUAAGCUCUCCUAUUACCGGUACGUCAUCAGGUAACGUUGUUGCUGGACUUAAAAUGGAGUCAGGUGCUUCUGCUAGUACAUCUGGGUCCAGCAUGAAGGUCAGUAAUAUAUUGAAUCUUUCUGGUGGCACUGUCAUGACAUGGUAUACUUGUCAAUCAGAAAAUAUGCCAUGCAUACAUAUUUGACAACUAUGGUUCACAGGUAUAGGCAAAGUAGAAUAGAAUAGCAUUAACUUGCCCUAUUCUUUUUUCCUCGUGUUUGUGCUUGUGAAUCUUAGAUUUGGAUCUUGUCAGUUACAUCUAUUUACUUUUAUUGCCAUAUCUUACUUCCUUGUCUUGCUUUCUUUGUUGACUAACUGACAUUAGAUGCAUUGUUCCUUUUGGAUUUAAAUUUUCUUGUUUUAUAUUUGUUUUUGGUCAGCAUUUUCAUGGCGUUGAUACACUUUGCACAUUAUGAUGAUCCCAUUUCUAAUGUAUUUUUAAUUAUUUUUUUUAGUCAACCAAACAUGGGAAUUGACAUUUUGAUGGAAUGACUUUUUAUUGCACUUCAUUCCAGUGAUCAGUGUACCAAACACUACCUCAAUUCUUCAACAUUUCCAUGUGAAAAUCUAAAGUAAUUGAGUGCAUCUUCAAUAAUCUUCAACCAAAUUUUGGGGAACUGUGUGAUCUUAUCAUAAUUAGGGUCGCCAUUUGGGUGAAGUCUCAGUUAAAAGGAUAUUUUUAUUCAGCUAAUGAGAUGGUGCAUAAUUUGCAAUAGGUGAGGAGGAGCAUUGGAUUUUCAAUCAGGUUGUAGAGGUUUUCUCAGAUGGGAGUGAGCAAGCUGGAGUAUGAUCUGGUUUUGUGUUGUUUUUUCCUUGCUACGUUGGUUCCUCACCAACUCUUGAUGGUGUGCUAGUGUGCUUAUCGGUGCCAACCUCAUUCCUCGGCUCAAUUUAUCCAUCAAUUCAAUCUCAAACCUUCAAAUCCCAAACUCAACAGGAUGCAACCCUUGAGUAUGUGAUGAUAUCUUCAUAUAUUGAUAUUGGAGCUUAUUAUUGAUAUCAAAACAAGCUAUAAUAUGUAUGUUUUUUUUAUAUUUAUGUUGUCGAUACUUUUAUUUUGUUUUAGAUACAAAAAUUUGAGUUCUUGAAUACAAAAAAUUAUUAGUGUUGUUGGAGGAUGUUUUAUAUAUUUUUGUAAAGAAUAUUUGGUUGACAAUUAUUACAGGGUACAUAUAUA